rnacentral:rRNA from 1 species
AGCGAACGCUGGCGGCAGGCUUAACACAUGCAAGUCGAACGCCCCGCAAGGGGAGUGGCAGACGGGUGAGUAACACGUGGGAACGUACCUUUUGGUUCGGAACAACACAGGGAAACUUGUGCUAAUACCGGAUAAGCCCUUACGGGGAAAGAUUUAUCGCCGAAAGAUCGGCCCGCGUCUGAUUAGCUAGUUGGUGAGGUAAAGGCUCACCAAGGCGAUGAUCAGUAGCUGGUCUGAGAGGAUGAUCAGCCACACUGGGACUGAGACACGGCCCAGACUCCUACGGGAGGCAGCAGUGGGAAUAUUGGACAAUGGCGCAAGCCUGAUCCAGCCAUGCCGCGUGAGUGAUGAAGGCCCUAGGGUUGUAAAGACUCUUUUGUGCGGGAAGAUAAUGACGGUACCGCAAGAAUAAGCCCGGCUAACUUCGUGCCAGCAGCCGC